GACGAACGCUGGCGGCGUGCCCAAUACAUGCAAGUUGAGCGCUGAAGGUUGGUACUUGUACCAACUGGAUGAGCAGCGAACGGGUGAGUAACGCGUGGGGAAUCUGCCUUUGAGCGGGGGACAACAUUUGGAAACGAAUGCUAAUACCGCAUAAAAACUUUAAACACAAGUUUUAAGUUUGAAAGAUGCAAUUGCAUCACUCAAAGAUGAUCCCGCGUUGUAUUAGCUAGUUGGUGAGGUAAAGGCUCACCAAGGCGAUGAUACAUAGCCGACCUGAGAGGGUGAUCGGCCACAUUGGGACUGAGACACGGCCCAAACUCCUACGGGAGGCAGCAGUAGGGAAUCUUCGGCAAUGGACGAAAGUCUGACCGAGCAACGCCGCGUGAGUGAAGAAGGUUUUCGGAUCGUAAAACUCUGUUGGUAGAGAAGAACGUUGGUGAGAGUGGAAAGCUCAUCAAGUGACGGUAACUACCCAGAAAGGGCCGGCUAACUACGUG
rnacentral:rRNA from 1 species